UUACUGAGUCUGGGUCAUAAUUUGAAUAUUUAUAU
rnacentral:sRNA from 1 species